AACGAACGCUGGCGGCAUGCCUAACACAUGCAAGUCGAACGAGACCUUCGGGUCUAGUGGCGCACGGGUGCGUAACGCGUGGGAACCUGCCCUUAGGUUCGGAAUAACUCCCCGAAAGGGGUGCUAAUACCGGAUAAUGUCUUCGGACCAAAGAUUUAUCGCCUUUGGAUGGGCCCGCGUUGGAUUAGCUAGUUGGUAGGGUAAAAGCCUACCAAGGCGACGAUCCAUAGCUGGUCUGAGAGGAUGAUCAGCCACACUGGGACUGAGACACGGCCCAGACUCCCACGGGGGGGAGGCGGGGGGAAUAUUGGAAAAUGGGGGAAAGCCUGAUCCAGCCAUGGCCGGGGGGGGAAGAAGGGCUUUGGGUUUUAAAGGCUUUUUUUCCCGGAAGAUAAAUAACGGUCCGGGGGAAAAAAGCCCGGGCAACCUCCGU
rnacentral:rRNA from 1 species